CUCGUUUCACAUGGCGAGCUCCGUGUGCUUCAGCUGUGUGAAUUCCAUCGUCUCUCCGUCCACUUCCACCGCUCCCAUUCGAAACCCUAGACUUCCACUCAUCUCUCUAAAACCCUCUGCAGCUCGUUGCGUCAGCGUGAAGGCAACGGAGAGUGACAAGAAACCUAAAGUUAAUAGCAUAGUUUGCCCUGAAUGUGAAGGGAAUGGUGCAAUUUUGUGCAAGCAGUGUAAAGGAACAGCGGUGAAUUCCGUUGAUCACUUCAAUGGUCAGUUCAAAGCCGGUGCGUUAUGUUGGCUUUGCAGAGGCAAGCGAGAAAUAUUAUGUGGAGACUGCAACGGUGCUGGAUUUCUGGGAGGUUUUAUGAGUACUUUCGACGAAUAGAUUAAGGUUUCAUUUAGAUGCUUCGUUCUUUAAUCAUAUUCCUCGUACUUUUAAUAUUAUAUUUCAAUCAGAUUUCAGUUUUCUCAUUGUGAUAUGCUAUGUAAGAGAUACUAAAUAGCGUCUCUAAGGACACAACAGUAAUAUUUUGG
rnacentral:misc_RNA from 1 species